UUCUGCGUAGUGAAGAGAGCUUUGCCUCAC
rnacentral:sRNA from 1 species